AUUGAACGCUAGCGGGAUGCUUUACACAUGCAAGUCGAACGAGUGGCGGACGGGUGCGUAAUUUAUCGGAACGUGCCCCGUAGCGGGGGAUAACUACUCGAAAGCGUGGCUAUUUCCGCAUACUAUUGGUGCGGCCGAAAUCGGAUUAGCUAGUUGGUGGGGUAAAGGCUAACCAAGGCAACGAUCCGUAGCUGGUUUGAGAGGACGACCAUCCACACUGGGACUGAGACACGGCCCAGAAUCCUACGGGAGGCAGCAGGGGGGAAUUUUGGACAAUGGGGGAAAGCCGGAUCCAGCCAUCCCGCGUGUAUGAGAAGGCCUUCGGGUUGUAAAGUACUUUUGGCGGAGAAGCGGUAUCUGAAGAAGAAGCACCGGCUAACUACGUGCCAGCCGCCGCGGUAAUUC
rnacentral:rRNA from 1 species